CCCACCCCUAUCGAGGCAGUCACACCUUAAAAAAAAAAAGGAGGAGUUAUUCCUGCUUUUGCCGUGCUGUGAUCCAGGGCAGAGUUUCUCGUCAACCAGUAAAACAUCCAGUAACACAGCCAAUGGAAAUAAAUGAAUGGGUCUCUGUUUAUAGUGAAGAUUCUUUCAUUCUCCAGCUCCAGGCUUCAUAUGGUAAAACUCUCUGGGAAGGAAAGGAACUCAGAGUCCCAUGCAGAAAAUUGUUCAGCUGGAGGGGUAUCAGAAAGAUGGAUUUCCAAAGCCAACUGUUUCCUGUAGUGUGUGGAUCUCUGCAAGCAGAGCCUCAUCUUUCAAUUUCAGCUACAUGAAAGAGGAAGAAAGGGAAAGAUAUAUGUCAUACGUGAUAUACUUUAUGUGGCUUUGAAGACCCCUCUUUUGUGGGGCUACGGCUAAAGAACAUAGUUCCCUGGGAUGGAAUUGGCUCUUCCUAUAUUCCCUACUUCAUGAAAACUCCAGUAGAAGACCUUAGAACCUUGUCCUGGUUACAUGGAUAUGUUUACUUUGCGAAAAUUCAUCAAGCACUAUGCACGGUCAUGAUUUGUACAUUUUUUUGUAAGAUAACUUCAUUAAAGUUUACUUUUUUUAUUUUUAAAAA
rnacentral:antisense_RNA from 1 species